UUUUUUGUUAGUUAAUUGUUAAACAACGCUCCGAUUUAUUUAUUAGUCGAAGAUAUUUUAUACAAAACUUUGUAUUUUUAGAACGCAUCAAAACAAGUUUUCGGUCGUCCAGAGUUGCCGCGGAAACUAAAUAAAAGCGAUCCGGUCUGACCGAGAAAUUAUCGCAUUUCGUUAAAAUAAUAUGGUGGUAACAUAUGGAUUUUGCCGGGGCAGGAGUUACUUGGAAAUGUUUGGCUGAAAAUAAAGAGAUGACGAUCAUCGGGUCGGAUGUUAGCAGGAAAUGUUGUUAAUUAUGGAUUUUUUGGCAAAUUUACAGCGACUUGAAAUGCCAGGGAAGCGACGUUGUUUGUACUUUUUAAGGAAAUUAUGUGGACAUUUAUAGGGUCGUUAAACCUGAGGCAUUUUAGGGAGAAAAAUGUCGAAAGAAAGCAAAUUAUAAGUACCUAGAAACUGGAUGUAUAUUCUAUGAAGUAUUACGCUAUUACAUUAGAUCACAUAACCAGAUACCUAAACAGUUCCACACAGUACAAGAAUUUCUCGCAUCAACUGCCUGGAAUAAACACACACAAUUAUUUGAACUGAAAAACAUUAACUCCAAGGACACAAUUGCCAUAAUUCCGAAACUCCAGAGUUACUUGGAAAUGUUUGCGCUUAAAAUAAAGAGAUGACGAUCGUCGGGUCGGAUGUUAGCAGGAAAUGUUGUUAAUUAUGGAUUUUUUGGCAAAUUUACAGCGGCUUAAAAUGCCUGGGAAGCCGAGGUUGUUGGUACUUUUUAAGGAAAUUAUGUGGACAUUUAUAGGGUCGUUAAACCUGAGGCACUUAAGAAAAAUGUCGAAAGAAAGCAAAUUAUAAGUACCUAGAAACUGGAUGUAUAUUCUAUGAAGUACUAAGCUAUUACAUUACAUCACACAACCAGAUACUUACAGUCAGUUGCACGCAGUACAAGAAUUUCUCGCAUCAAUUGCCUGGAAUAAACAGACACAAUUAUUUGAACUGAAAAACAUGAACUCCAAGGACACCAAGUCACAAGUGCCUGGAAGUUUUUUGCAGGAGCUCUCAAGUUAGUGAGCAUUUGAAGCUAUCUAUCUCUUUCUCUGGUUUCAAUUUCCUGGAAUAGAGAUUAAAUUACUUUAACUGGAAACAACUAACUGCAACCACAGCAGAUAAAUGUUUUAUCAAUGAAUAAAUAAAUGUUUAUCAAUGAAAAAAUCACUGCUAGGUAAUAAUAAUUGAAUAUUGUUUUGUCACGGGUUAUUUCAAAUCACUACUUUGAUAAAUGACUCGUCAUUAAAUCAAUCUGAGGAAAAAAAAUUAAUAUCAUUCAAGGCGUAUAAGGAAAAAACAAUGCCAGAGAUAACUUCUGGAAUUCUGGCUUGAAUCUUAUGUCUA